rnacentral:lncRNA from 1 species
AUCGCGUGCCGACUUCCGUGUUGUCGCUCUCCCCUCCCAAAAGCGCGGCCGCGAGGACGGGCGCUGCCAGCGAUUUCCUCGCCUUUGUGUCGCGGGGCUGUCCGCUGCGCGUUACUUGGUGCGAUACGCGCAUUCGGCGGUGAUCCCGAGCCCCACGCGAACCUCCCUGUGUCCUUGCUAGUGCCUGGCGCCGUCACUGACGCUGAGGCGUGAACACGGAGUCGGCCCAGAGGGGCUGUUCUCCCGGACGCCGAGGCCACCCCACGCGGCCGCAGGGCCGGGCAGAGGGGAACUGCAGGGAGGCGCGGGCCGCAUCCCUCCCGGAGGUCUGCGAGCUUCUUGAGGCCUCACGCCCCCUUUUGAGCCCCGCUGCUGCCCUGUGGCGCUGCUUCUCCAUCCCUGCGGGUGACCAUCGACGCGUUCCCCUUGCUCGCUUCUUGGUUACGGGCCAGGGGAUACUCCUGCCCGACCCUCGGCAUUGCCCAAGGGAGUUUGCACUUCCCACUGUGCUCUGCCAAGCCUCUGUGGAGAGGAGCCCUCCACCUGCCUGACCGGGCCCAGCUUUGGGGAAGACCUUCUUGGUUUUGUCUGCUGGCUGGACUGACCCUGGCCCUCAGCCCAGGUGAGGCGACCAGCGGCAUGAUGCCCGGGUGGAACACGGAUUUAUUUCCAAACAAGGUCACAUUCUGAGGCCCUGGGGGUUAGGCCUUCAACAUAUGAAUUCGAGGGGACACAAUUCGACCCGUAACAGCUUCUGUCUCCCCACACAUCCGAUGUGCUUCUCCCUCUGCCACGCUUAGGCUGGGGUCUCUACCAGGCACCUCGACCCGAGUCCUCACUCAGGCCGGCUCUGAGCCUCACAGCUCUGUCUGUGGGAGCUGCCCUAGUUUUCCACGGACCUUUAUUAGGUGACAUGGGAAUAUCGAGCAGUGCCCCAGAAUCCCUGGGUUUUGACACAGUGCUUCCUCCUCACCUGAGGCAGCAUUCCCACCCUCCUGCAGGGAUCUCUCCGAAGAGAUUCCUCUGCAGAGAUCUCUGGCCCGCGGAGCUCCCUUCUCCAGCGGUCAGCUCGGCAGUGAGCGGCCCCACAUGGCCAGAGGGCAUCUCUGCUCCUGUGUUUGGGAAGCAGACCCACGUUCCCCAGAGGACCGGGAGCCAGGACUGCCACUCCUGCGACCCCACCUUACCAGAGUGGGAAAGAAAAAUCCCUCCAUAGCCGAUUAGCUGUCACGGCCACUCUGUGUAAGGACUGCAGAGGCGUGGCAAGGCCGUGACUGGCGUCCGUCCACAGAAGCCCUCUCACAGGCAUGGCCACCAAACCAUACCAGAGGCUGAGGUGGGAGGAUUGCUUGAACCCAGGAGGCAAGGUUGCAGUGAGCCAAGAUCAUGCCACUGCACUCCAGCCUGAGUGACAGAGCGAGACCCCUAUCUCAAACCCCCCCCCAAAAAACAGAUACAGGUGGAUGAUUGGAUGGGUCAGGGAUGGAUGAAUGGUUGGAUGGGUGGAAGGAUGGAUACAGGGUGGGUGGAUUGUUGGAUAGAUGGUGGGAUAAAUAUUCGGGUGGUGUAUGGUUGGAUGGAUGGUAGGAUGGUGGAUGGUGGAUAAUUGGCUGGAUGGAUAGUAGGAUGGAUGGAUGUUGGAUGGAUGGAUGAACAGUGGGGUGGUAGAUGGGUAGAUAAAUGGUUGGAUGGACAGUAGGAUGGUGGGUGGUUGGAUGGAUGGAUUGAUGG